rnacentral:rRNA from 1 species
ACCCUUGACAUGUCCGGAACUUGCCAGAGAUGGGCUUGGUGCCCGAAAGGGAAUCGGAACACAGGUGCUGCAUGGCUGUCGUCAGCUCGUGUCGUGAGAUGUUGGGUUAAGUCCCGCAACGAGCGCAACCCUUAUCAUUAGUUGCUACGCAAGGGCACUCUAAUGAGACUGCCGGUGACAAACCGGAGGAAGGUGGGGAUGACGUCAAGUCCUCAUGGCCCUUAUGGGUAGGGCUUCACACGUCAUACAAUGGUCGGUACAGAGGGUUGCCAAGCCGCGAGGCGGAGCCAAUCCCACAAAGCCGAUCGUAGUCCGGAUUGUUCUCUGCAACUCGAGAGCAUGAAGUCGGAAUCGCUAGUAAUCGCAGGUCAGCAUACUGCGGUGAAUACGUUCCCGGGCCUU